GUCUUACACCAGCAACUGUGCCCCCUUGGCCUGGGCACAUGUGGCAACUGUCCAUGCAUCAUGUUGUUUAGGAGUCUUUUUUCCAGAGCUGAUGAUAAGAAGACAGUUUCCUUUGCAGCUUCUUUCACCUGGCAUCUAUUUCACAGAGGAGGGGGGAAGACUGAGCGUGGG